UCCAGACUCCUACGGGAGGCAGCAGUGGGGGAUAUUGCACAAUGGGGGAAACCCUGAUGCAGCGACGCCGCGUGGGCGAAGAAGUAUUUCGGUAUGUAAAGCCCUAUCAGCAGGGAAGAAGAAAUGACGGUACCUGAGUAAGAAGCACCGGCUAAAUACGUGCCAGCAGCCGCGGUAAUACGUAGGGGGCAAGCGUUAUCCGGAUUCACUGGGUGUAAAGGGAGCGUAGACGGCGACGCAAGUCUGGAGUGAAAGCCCGGGGCCCAACCCCGGGACUGCUCUGGAAACUGCGUCGCUGGAGUACGGGAGGGGCAGGCGGAAUUCCUGGUGUAGCGGUGAAAUGCGUAGAUAUCAGGAGGAACACCGGCGGCGAAGGCGGCCUGCUGGACCGUGACUGACGUUGAGGCUCGAGAGCGUGGGGAGCAAACAGGAUUAGAUACCCGGGUAAAG
rnacentral:rRNA from 1 species